UGUUUACACAGGCUCCACAAUGAGGACUUUAAGGAAACUACAUCAUCAUUACGAAGACUGGGGAGCAACAGCGUCAUGGGCACCGCUCUGCUCUGCAUGAAGGAGUCCGACAGCUGCCAGCGGGGAGCUUUGGUGGUGCCAAAUCCCCUGGAGAGAGGAGGCUGCAGCCCCAGGCAGCAGGGAGCCCUGGAGGAAGCUGCCUCUGCAGACUCGCGGGAAUGCCAGCUCCGGGUUUCAUUCCUUUGUUCACUGCUGCUUCCCAAGUGCCAGACGGAGCCUGGAACUCAGUGGCUGCUCUAAAGAUACUGUUGAAUGAGUAAAUGAACGGAAUUGCACAGGAGCGAGGCCACAGUUCUACAGCUGAGCUGCCUGUCACGGCCCUCACCCAACCACCACUGCUGGAAAUGUGCAGACAGGGUGUGCCUCUCCCGUUUAAGGGAAAUGUAUUGAGAUAUCAUUCACAUACAUGGCACGUGCUCAGGGAGCCCCCCAGGAUGACAGAGCUCACCCAUCACCCCACAGAACGUCUCUGCCCCAUCCAGGCAGGCCCCAGAGUACACUGGGUCUGGCUUCUUUAGUCAGAGGUGGUUUGAGUGAGUCUAGAGACUUCAUAGAAUCUGGGUCACAGAGCAGGCACCCUUUUCCAUCUGGUGUCUUCCACUCAGCGUAGCGGUCCCGAGAUCCAGCGUGUCUCUGCUAGGAUCAGCGGUUUGCUCCUUGGUGUUGCUGAGGAAAAUUCUACUGCAUGGAACACCACCAUCUAUCCACACUGGAUAGACACCAGAUGAGUGCUUCCGCCUGCUGUGAAUGAAGCUCCUAUGAACAGUCUCAUAUUAGGUAUGAAAGGAAAAUAAAUCAAUCACUAAACAAAGGGGAAAGUCAAGCUGGGAGCUGCCUCCCAUCCUAUUCCUAAAUAAGAUAGCUACAAAGAUAAAAACGCUGUUCCUCCCUCACAAUUUGCUCACAAGGAACUUCCUUGUGGAACAAGGACAGACAGAACUCAAUCAUCCCUCCGCUCACAUGAGACAAACACAGAUCGGAAUGCUUCCUCCGCCCUGUUGUUUCACCCAGCCAGACUAAGGCAUACGUAACUAUUCCAGUAAAUUGUGCAUUCGGUGAAAGGCUAAUCAGAAACUUAAAAGAAUGCAGCCAUUUGUCUCUUAUCUACCUACAACCUGGAAGCCCCCUGCGCGCUUUGACUUGUCCUGUCUUUCCAGAUAGAACCAAUGUACAUCAUACAUAUAAUGAUUGAUGUCUCAUGUCUCCCUAAAAUGUAUAAAACCAAGCUGUUCCCCGACCACCAUCACCAGGACCUCCUGAGGCUGUGUCACGGCACGUCCUCAACCUUGGCAAAAUAACUUUCUAAAUUUAUUGAGACUUGUCUCAGAUACUUUUUGGUUUACAAAGGUGUUUGUGGACAUGUAUAUUCAUUUCUCAUAGAUAAGUACCUAGAAGUUGAAUUGCUUAGACAUGAGUAAAUGUAUGUUUAACUUUUUCAGAAACUCCCGAACAUAUUUCCAAACUAUACCGUUUUACACUCUGUCAGCAGAAUUUAAAAGUUUCCACUGAACCACAUCCUUGUCAACGUUUGGUAUUGUCAAUAUGUUUAAGUUAUUGAUAUUGUUCUAGUGAAUGUGUAGAGACAUCUCGUUUUGGUUUUAAUUUGCAUUUUCCUAAUGAGGAAUAAUACUGAGAAAUUUUUUCUUUCAUAUUGUCAUAUAUGUGUCUUCUUUCUUAAAGUGCCUAGUCAAAUAUUUUGCUCAUUUUUUAUUGCUUUUUAUUAUAAACUGUGUUUUUUUAAAUAUUAUCUUAACACACGUCUUUUGGCUGAUAUAAUAUUGUAAAUAUUUUCUCCCAUUCUGUGGUCUACUUAUUGUUUCCUAAUGCUGUCUUUUGAAGAGCAAAAUAUUUUUCUCCAUUUAUGGAGACAAGAUGGUCAACUUAGCUAUUCCAAAAUGUUUUUAAAAUUCUAGUUUGUUUUAAAACAACCACAGCAAACUGCAUGGAUUUGUUCCACAUCUUUGAAAGAAAAACAUUAUUUUAUUUAUUUCACAGUGGAAGAUAAGUCAGUAAGGCCCCACUUCGGCAGGUUUUGUUUUCGUUUCCUCAUGCCUCUGCAAUGCUCGGAGUCACCCACGCCUUACUCACUGCGGCUGGAACGAACCCAGACUCCUCACUCCUCCCACAGCCUCUGGCGCAGGGCGCUCCUUGCUUGAAAGAAACGUUUGCGAUUUUUAGUGGAAACGUCCGUGUUUUCUUGGUAACUGGUAAAUGGCUGUAGAUUACUGACACGCGGUCCUUUGUACGUAACAGAAGGCUUUGAGUGUUUCUGUGAGGAUCACCCUGUGAAGAAACGGCUGCAGUGAGAGCAGCCGAGGCGGGACGCAGCCCCGGACGUGGGGUCAGAGAGGAGCCCUUGCUUUGUUAUCCGGAGGGUAGCCACGGUUUUAGCUCACAGUGAUGUCAACUUGAAGCUUCUCUCCACAAGCAGCUGUGACCUCAGCUGCCGUGCAGUCAGCUUCCCCGGCCUCCCUCCCCAGCCUCCCUGGUCUCCCAGGCACAAGGCUGGGCACUGGCUUCAGAGUGGCUGCAAGGGCACGGCCCCCAGGCCUAGGGCUGAUCAGCGUGAACAGUACCCAGCACACUUGCUUCAAAAAGUAAGAAGAUAUAGAACACAAGCUGCUUGUUCUCAUGACUAUAGCACAAACUAUAAAACAAAACAUCUUCCUCCAGAACACGGCAAGCUGGAUGGACAGUGAUCUGGACAAAAAUUUGCUGUAGGUUUUGUAACUGGGGUUCAGUGAGGACCAGGCUCCCCAGAGCAUACAUGUGGAGACAAUUAAGUUGAUCCCAUUUUCCAAGACUCAGAGGAGAUGUAUUUAUAUUAGGAAUAUAAACUUGCUAUUAAUGCAACUUCAGAAUGUCCAGGUCAUCCGUUGGGAAAAAAAAAAGAGUAAGUCUAGGGCUGGUUCGUGCUGUUGCUACAUGGAGGGAAUCCACAUCCAAGCCUGCCGCUCACAUGCUGGGACACAUUGCCUCAGCCUCCAUCUCUGGGAGUCCCACGCUUUCUCUCCUGGGUUGUCCCACUAUUCCUUUUGAAGUCCUCAUGUUAGUGACAGUUCAAUUUUCUCUUCACCUUCAAAAUUGCAGAGAACCUAAUUUCUACUGACCAGUCAAGCUUGUUUCAUUUAUCUUCCAUGUUAACUUCAAUUAAAAUGUUAACCAUCUGGAAUCUUUGGCCUCUUAUGUGACAAAAAUAGGCAUUAAAUUGUAUCAUUUCUUAAAUUCUCUGUUGAAAAGUCCAAAUACGUUACUGAAUAUGAUACAGAUUAGUAAGAAUUUGGGCUCAUUAAAUGUAAGAUAAUUUCAUAGCUUAAGGUAAUUUCACACCCCAAGGGACUUAUAACCUAAACACAAAGCAGAUCACCAACAUUAACUGUCAGCUGUCCACUGGAGAACUAUCUCAGACAAAAAAAUAAAAUUUGGAUUAGCUCUCCAUGGUGCACAAUACUUUCAUGAACCAUCUCUUUUGGGUUGGCAGCUGCAGUGUGUUCUGAGAGUAUGUUAAUGCUACAAUAACAGUAAAAAUAAAAUUAAGUUGGGAACAUACAGAAAAAAAGAAAUUGAUUACAUUAUUCCUAAUGACGACCUGAAUCAAAGUUGGCACUAAAUAAAUUUUUGUCAGAAAGGAGAAAAGAAAUGAGAGAAAUAAAAGAGAGGAGGCAGGAUUUUAUAUUCUGCUCCCUUUUUGGAAAA
rnacentral:lncRNA from 10 species